rnacentral:misc_RNA from 1 species
GAAUCAUUAAGACGCAUGCACGAUACAUUUCCUGAUACAUACAUACUUUGAAUUGUCUUUGUUUUAUGCAAUGAAAAUAUCACUGCAAUAAAUAAAGUUGAAAAAUUAUUUAAAAUGGUAAUAACUAGUAUGCUUAAAAGCACAGACCUGGAAGGAACUUUAGUAAGACAACAAAAAGUGCAAUUAAAUAUUAGGAUAUGGACAAACUAAUAUUUUCUAAUAAUAACAAAUUGCCCCUUACACAUAAUAAUUCCUAAACCAAGAUAAAACUUUUAAUCUUUUUUUUUAUUGCAAUUUAGAUAAUUUUAGGAGGGAGGGAGGUGUUAAGAAUUGAGCACCUGACUUUUGCACUAUAAGGCAAACACAUGAUAACUAGGCAACAAGUCAAAUAGCUACAAAAUAGCAAACAUAAUUAUUUUAUACCAUGUGGAACAUAUCAUUAUCUUGUGACAUUAAAAUUUUCUAAGCCUAUUUACAGUAUCAUGUUAAAUUUGGAGAGAGUGUU